rnacentral:misc_RNA from 1 species
AAACCACAAAAAAGUCUCAGAAGACAAGAAGCUGCUCUGAAUCUUGAUGACAGUCCUAAUGAAUCACAGAAUGUGGAGCCACAGGAGGAACUCAAGGUUCCAGCCUCUAUGCAGAAAGAGAAGAAAUUUUCUUCUGAAGUCAAUUCACUGGCAGAGUUGAAAGAGCGAGAAGAAAAACUUACAGAAGGGCUCAAGGUUUCAGAAUCUUUGCAGAAAGAGAAGGAAUUUUAUGCCGAAGUCAAUUCUCAGGCUGAGUUGAAAGGACAAGAUGAAAAACUUAAUCCUGAGGAUCUCGAGGAUUCAGGUAGAACACAUGAAGAAUCCAGAGGACGAGGAAGUGCACUAAGUCCUGAUGGCAGUCUUGACGGGGAGGUCGAGGUUUCAGUUUCUUCACAGAAAGAAAAGGCUACAGAUGAGAAAAAGGAAAAGGAAGAGAUAAAAGAACAUCUCAGCACCUCUAACAGAAAUCAUGGAGACGAUGCAAGUCUACCACAGACAAGUAAUGAACCUGAUGAUUCUCAGGAGAAAUCUUAUGACAUGAAAAAGGAGGAGAAAUUUGAAAAGCAAGAUUCACCCAAGGCUGUGGACAAUCUCCUUGUUGUAGAAACACAGAAGCAGGCAACAGAGCAAGAUGAUGAGCCAGACUGGAAGUAUUUGUUCAUGAAUGGUAUGGAAAAUAGAGAAAAAACUAUGUUGAGUGAGUAUACUACAAUUCUUCGGAACUAUAAAGAACUCAAGAAGAAGCUUGGUGAAGCAGAAACCAAAAAUGGGGAUGACCUCUUUGAUACAAUGGUGCAGUUAAAAGAACUGAGGAGUGCUAAUGCAAAGAAGGAUGAACAGAUUAAUAUCUUGCGUCAGAAACUGAGCCUUCUCCAAACAGGCUUGGGUGAAAAUGAAUCUGAUAAAUCAACCUUGACAGAGGCAGAAUUGCAAAAAAUAGAGAGAGAUGUAAUAUAUGAUGUCAAGCUGAUAACAAUGGAAGAGCCAGAAAUCUCACCAAUUGAAAACAAAUUCCGGAUGAGCAUCGAUGAACUGUUAGAGGAGAACUUAGAUUUCUGGUUAAGAUUCAGUUCUACAUUAUAUCAAAUUCAGAAAUUUGAGACUGAAAUCAAAGAUUUGCAGUCUGAGUUGUUGAAACUUGAGGAGAAAAAGAAGCAGCAAGAUGGUAGCACUAAUGCAAAGUUUUCUCUGAAAUCAGAUGCAAAACCGCUGUACAAGCACCUUAGAGAGAUUCACACUGAAUUAGCGGUCUGGUUAGAAAAAAGUAUGCUACUGAAAGAUGAACUGAAGAGCAGAUUCUCAUCCUUGUGUGAAAUUCAAGAAGAAAUAACUGCUGCUUUGAAGGAGAGUGCUGAAGAUGAUGACUUCAAGUUUACAAGCUACCAAGCUGCUAAGUUCCAAGGUGAGAUUUUGAACAUGAAACAAGAGAAUAACAAGGUUGCAGAUGAAUUGCAGGCUGGCUUAGAUCAUGUUACGACACUCCAGCUGGAAGUUGAAAGAGCUCUAGCAAAGUUGAAUGAGGAAUUCAAGCUUGCUGGAUCAAAGAAUCGCCAAAAUAUCCAACUGGAACACUCCGACAGCAGAUCUCGAGUUCCUUUGCGGUCAUUUAUCUUUGGUAACAAACCAAAAAAGCAAAAGCAUUCAAUCUUCUCCUGCGUGCACCCUGUACUGCAAAGGAAAUACAAUGGUUUGAAGGCAGGGAUUUAAUGUCUAAAUUGAUUGUUUUUAAUGGUUUACUGCUUUAGUAUUUUUUUUUUUUUAAUUUCUCUCUCUUCCUUUUUCAUUGUUAUUUUUAAGAAGCUGUAGCUUCGCCUUGAUUUUGACAGGGCAUGUUUUCCUUGUAAUAUAGAUGUUUAUAUUUAAUGAAAACAGCAGGAAUUUUUCAGCAUUUUCAAUUGGCAUUAUUUGAUUUUAUUUAUUAAGAUUCCUGUGGUGAAAUCUCAUUUUGAGUUCUUGAUAUUACAUAUAAGGCUUCUUCACCUGUUUUGCUGACCUUUUCUAGGCAAAUAAACUGUCAUAAGUGAAAUACAAUUGAACUCAUCAAAGAACGAACUACUGCUACACAAUGAAAUUUUUAAGAAUAUCAGUAAUCACUACAGAGAAUCACAUCAAAAAAGUUAAAUUCCACUCAAGUAAUGUUGCUGAUACAAACCGUUUGCAGUGCUUUGUUGCUUUUCUCCUGCAAAAUGGUAUUUUAUCAAGAAUAAUGCUAUACAUGCAAACAGAGCUUUUCUU